rnacentral:lncRNA from 1 species
UAUCCGUAUGGGUUCUAAGGAUGUUGUUCUACACAUUCGACCUAUCCGAUCGUCGGGUACUAUUGCUAGAUGGUCACUUCGAUUGGUAUAAAAAUUUAUUUCUAUGCUAUCAGUUUAGGUUUGGACCUAUAAGGUCACACACAUUAGAGUUCACGAUCGGAUGGUUGAUCAAUGAUUAAGAAUCAUUCUAGGGUUAAACAAUCAAUACG